UUUAUUUUUGUUCUGUACUUUAGAAAUAACAGGGUGAGUUAGUUAGACAUUUAGAAUGUCAAGAGUUAAUAUGGUUAUAGUUUAAGACCAUUUUACCUCUUUGUGUGUAUUGGUUACAUGUGUAAGAAAGGGUAAUUAAGUCUUUUACCCUAAAAUUAGUAUUAUUUUAUUAAGUGGGAAUUGAAUUGAUUUAUUUAAUUUUUUAAGCUUAUCCUUAUUACUUUUGGUUGAUUGUAGAAAGAGUAAUUUAUAAUGACUCAUUUAAUCAAUUGGAAAAGUUAGAAAUAAUAACCCAUUAUCUCUUCCUCUCUCCUCUCUUAUUAGGCCUCACCCUAGAAACUAGAAAACUAGCAAGUUCUUCAGCAUUUUAGACCAAUUCUUGAAGAUUUGAGCUGUUGUAGCACAAGUAUUCAGUUGGAAGGAAACCCACAAACCACCAUCACCACCACUCUCUGGCGACCCACCACUGGCCACCGACCAGACCCAUGCACCAGACCAUUCGAACCCCCAGGUGCCAGCGACCUCACCCCCCAAGCGGCGCCGCUUCUUUCGCCGCCAUUAGCUCAGAAUCGCAAGUCAAAGUUUGGUGGUUCAAACUUUGAACGGAUUUUCCAAUCACCUCCGGUGUCCGUUUGACGAGCCGUCUUCACCAAUAGACUCAGCUUGACAGAAGAACAACCCACACUUAGCUAUUUUGUCCAACUCGCUACUUUUUUCGGUGACAUUUUUGUAGCUCUGCCCCUAUCCGACAACUUUCUGGCGACAUCGUGUACUGUUUUGACAAACAGUUAGCAUGGGUAUGAUCUACUCGUCGAGGUGGUCAUUUUAAUAUACAGUAUUCCUAUUUUUGGCGACAUUUCCGGUACAUUGAUUUUUACGACCAUCGAUAGUUAAUGUACACCGCUUAGGUGAGAGUAACAUCUAAGAUUGGACUAAACAAUUGGAGCUCGGGACUUGAGAGCUUAAGAGCUUAAGAGCUUAAGAUCCUCUUUUGGACAAAGUUUAACGACUUGG